UCGACCGCCUGGGGAGUACGGCCGCAAGGUUAAAACUCAAAUGAAUUGACGGGGGCCCGCACAAGCGGUGGAGCAUGUGGUUUAAUUCGAUGCAACGCGAAGAACCUUACCUGGUCUUGACAUCCACAGAACUUUCCAGAGAUGGAUUGGUGCCUUCGGGAACCGUGAGACAGGUGCUGCAUGGCUGUCGUCAGCUCGUGUUGUGAAAUGUUGGGUUAAGUCCCGCAACGAGCGCAACCCUUAUCCUUUGUUGCCAGCGGUCCGGCCGGGAACUCAAAGGAGACUGCCAGU
rnacentral:rRNA from 1 species